AGGAAUGCAUGGGUAACCUACCCUCGAGAAGGGAAUAGCCCGCCGAAAGGUGAGCUAAUACCCUAUACGCUUCCCUUUUUAUGAAGAGGGAAGGAAAGCUAAGCCGUGGGCUUGGCGCUCAAGGAGGGGCUCAUGUCCUAUCAGCUUGUUGGUGGGGUAACGGCCUACCAAGGCUACGACGGGUAGCUGGUCUGAGAGGAUGAUCAGCCACACUGGCACUGAGAUACGGGCCAG
rnacentral:rRNA from 1 species